GUGCCAGCAGCCGCGGUAAUACGGAAGGUCCGGGCGUUAUCCGGAUUUAUUGGGUUUAAAGGGAGCGCAGGCGGGAGCUUAAGCGUGACGUGAAAUGUAGCCGCUCAACGGCUGAGUUGCGUCGCGAACUGGGUUUCUUGAGUGAGUACGACGUCAGCGGAAUUCGUGGUGUAGCGGUGAAAUGCUUAGAUAUCACGAAGAACCCCGAUUGCGAAGGCAGCUGACGAGUCCUUUACUGACGCUAAAGCUCGAAGGUGCGGGUAUCGAACAGGAUUAGAUACCCUGGUAGUCCGCACGGUAAACGAUGGAUGCCCGCUGUUGGCGAUAUAUUGUCAGCGGCCAAGCGAAAGCGUUAAGCAUCCCACCUGGGGAGUACGCCGGCAACGGUGAAACUCAAAGGAAUUGACGGGGACCCGCACAAGCGGAGGAACAUGUGGUUUAAUUCGAUGAUACGCGAGGAACCUUACCCGGGCUUGAACUGCAGCAGGCGGAUACAGAGAUGUUGACUCCCUUCGGGGCUGCUGUGGAGGUGCUGCAUGGUUGUCGUCAGCUCGUGCCGUGAGGUGUCGGCUUAAGUGCCAUAACGAGCGCAACCCCUUUCGCCAGUUGCCAUCAGGUGAUGCUGGGCACUCCGGCGACACUGCCACCGCAAGGUGUGAGGGAGGUGGGGAUGACGUCAAAUCAGCACGGCCCUUACGUCCGGGGCUACACACGUGUUACAAUGGGUGGUACAGAGAGUCGAGUGCCGGCAACGUCACUCCAAUCCUUAAAGCCAUCCUCAGUUCGGAUUGGGGUCUGCAACCCGACCCCAUGAAGCUGGAUUCGCUAGUAAUCGCGCAUCAGCCAUGGCGCGGUGAAUACGUUCCCGGGCCUUGUACACACCGCCCGU
rnacentral:rRNA from 1 species